UCGAAAUUAUUUCCUCAUAAAUUAGUGCGAGUUUGUAAGGCAAAAAGUAUGAUGAUUCCAUUGCUGAUAUACAUAUUUUUUCUCUAUUGGUGUCAAGUUAUUACAACUGAAGAAGGAAGAUGCUAUAAAGAUUUGCGUAAUGGAAAGACAAAAUGGCACUGUUGUGAUAAUCGAGAAGAGAAAGACGGACGAUGCACAGAAUGCCUAGAUGGAUUUAAGUCAGAUGAGGGCGAACCCUGUCAUCCGUGUAUAGAUGGAAACUAUGGUCGUAAAUGCGGAGAAGUUUGUAGAUGCAUGGCAUACCAGAUUUGUGAUCAUAUAAAAGGUUGUUUGAAUUACUCUGGAAGUGUGACAGUAUUAUAAAAUGAUUCAACAUACAUUGAAACUGGAACUGUGCCUGGAACUGAUAAUGUGACUGAAAGUGUGGAAAGAAUUUUCAAUACAGAGAUGAUGACAGUUAUUAUCACUUGCACAAGUAUUAUUACUCUUGCUAUAUUAAUAUGUAUGGUAUGGUUCCGAUAUCACGUGAAGAAAAAACGUGAAUCAAAUGUUUCUCAUCUCGUUGGAAAAGAAAAGGAAGACGUUUUCAUUUCCAAUGGUAUUUAUGAUUAUAUAGAUGAAUCUGAAAUUCGCGAAAUGAAGAUCCAAACCACAAUUCCACAUGCUGUAAACGAAAACCGAAAAUCUAAUGAAUCAUCCAACAGUAAUGACACCAAUGUGCUGCUAGAGGACGAAUAUUUGAAUCCAUAUCAACCAAUUGUGCCUGAACAAGAUAUUCACGGGUAUUGCGGAAAGGAGAUUGCACAGGGAAUUCUGUCGAACGGGAACCUUGAUGAUAAUGUCAAGGUUGAAGAAACAGAUCCAGCAGACAAACAUCCUAGUGAAGACUACACACCAACGGACCAGGAACCCCGAGAUUAAAUUACCAAACUUUGUGUGUAUGAUGGUAGUAAUCCAUGCUCCAUAUAAUCAUAAAUAUUUACCCAAAUACUAUCGAAUAAAAAAGUAUGCUUGGAAGUGACACAUCUUACACUUGAGAGCAAAUCGAAUUAAAAAAGGAGUAGCAUACAGACAUUAUAUUUUUGAGGUCCCAAAAUGAUUUAAAAAAACUUAUUUUCAAAUAUGGGAGAACAUGGUCUAUUUACAACAUGUAUCAGUUGCUGUUGGCUUUGGACAAUCUUUCAGUAGCACUGCGAGUACUCUUAGAUCGGUAAUUUCUUUUUGCUUUUAUGUUAGUUUUGCAUAGUGCUUCGUACCAACCUGUUGAGUCAACCCAUUUUCAUCUGAUUAUUACAGUUUGUUACUAUGUUAUGCAACUAUACUUUCAAUUCUUAUUUAAAUGUUAAACACCGACACAUUAUGUUUGUUCCUGUCCCUGUUAGGUGCUUGUAAUUUAGUUGGUUGUUGUAUGUCAUGUUUUUUUUGUUUUUUUUUUCGUUUAAUGCUUUGUUAUAUAUUAUAUAGUUUUGCUUUUAUUUGUAAUCGUUUCAAAUUUUGUCAUUUCGUGACCUUUUAUAUCUGAAUAUACGGUAUGAUUGCUGCUAAAUGGUGAAGGUCGUACUGUUUCACAUAAUUUCUUAAAUAUUUGUACUCUAGUGGGAAUUUGUCUCAUUGGUAAUAUCUCAAUGUUUUACAAAUAACCUAUUUUAUAAUGAUAAAAGACCUAUAUUACUAAUAACCGUUGAUCAGCUUACAUUGUAGUAUGCUCUGUGUAGUAUCCUGUAUUGUUAUUCACAAUUAUCUUGUAAAUGCUUUAAAAAUAUCAAUUAUGUGCAUAAUAUUUGUCGGCCUAAUGAACAAAACAGAAUGUGUUGGUUUUUACAUGUAUGACUGUUACAAACAUCUAACAUUGACAUUUAACGAUUCAUUUUUUGUAAACUGUGAAUGCUAUAUUUCUAUUGGGUUUUGAACCAUGAUUAGAUAACAAUUUACUAAUUUAUCCACAUGGAAUUUUUAAAAAGUAUAUUAUAAGUAAUGUCAGUACCGAAGUACUGACUCAUGAGUUGAUGAUACCAUAUGGGGCGAGUAGUCUACUAGCAGCGGUAUCGAUUCAAUGCUGGAAAUUGAAAAUAACAUUUCUUGAAUUUAUUGCGUCUGCCGCGCUUUUCUGGAUUGACGCUAAACCUUAAAAUUUGAAAGUCGAUGAUAAAUGAGUACUAGAAAUGAUAUUAGCUAUGUGACAAAAGGGAGGUAAACGGAAGAGUCAAAUUCAUCUGAUGUCAACUAUACCUGAAAGAAUUGGUUUUUUGAUAAAUAUUUUCGUUUAUUAAUGGGAAGUUUUUGUGUAUAUAUUGUUAUAUAUCAUGUCAUUACCGAGUCACUGACACCUGAGCUGAAGAUGUCAUCGGGUUAUUUACCGUACAAUUCCUAGCAUUGUACUCAUUUACAUUGUACUGCUUUAUAAACUGUAAAACUUUUUUGAUUUGUAAAAACUAUUCAUAUACAUAUUUGGCUGUAUGAAGUUGAUAUUUGUUCGACAU